rnacentral:tRNA from 1 species
GCGGCUGUGGCGAAAUUGGUAGACGCACUAGAUUUAGGUUCUAGCGGGAGACCGUGGGGGUUCGAGUCCCUCCAGCCGCA